CUUGAAAUCAUUUAUCCAGCGUAUCCGAUCAAACACAAACAUCCUCUGCACUUGGAAAUAAAUGAGGGUUGGAGCCAGCUCGCCUCUGCAGAGGCUGUGUCCGACGUGUCGGUGCUAAAGCAGAAGCUGAGGAUCUUUCCUUCUCCCUUUUUCACCCUCGCUCACUCUCACUGCCUUGUAACCACGAACAGUGAGUAAAAAUAUUCAUGUUUCAGUCCAGUACCUUUUUGCACGCCUCACACUAGAGGUUUUUUUCCAUUCCCCUGGGGUUGGGCAGGCCUCGAUUAUCACU
rnacentral:lncRNA from 1 species